GGUUCUAUAGUGUAGCGGUUAGCGUGUCUGCUUUACACGCAGAAGGUCCUGGGUUCGCGCCUCAGUGGAACCG
rnacentral:tRNA from 1 species